rnacentral:tRNA from 1 species
GAGGGUAUAGCUCAGUGGCAGAGCGCGUGCUUAACAUGCAUGCACUAUGAGGGUUCAAUCCCCAGUGCCUCCA